AGACGGAUCAAAGAAGAAAGAAAAGAACCUGAACUAACGUCCACCCUCUGGAUUGUGUGACAUUACUAGGAGAGAACCAGGCGUUCAAGCUAUAAGAUCAAAUUUGACUUUUUGAUCCAAUCGAUUAUGCAGUUGAUUUAGCAGCAUAACCAUAACUAGCACCAGAUCGGUCUUGACAUAUAGGCGAAAGCUACUUAUGGUCCAGCAACUUGAUCUCGCUCUGGAAAAGGAAGUCUAGGCUUCUUUCCUUCCUGCCGCUGUUAAUGACAUUUAUGGAUCAAGAGGAUUGAUUAAUAAAGAAUCUUAUGAAUAUGGGUAUAUAUCCUUUAUAACUGGCUAGUAAUGCACAUGUCUUUCUUCUCUUACUAUGAGUGGGCGUGCUACCGAAAUGACUUCAGGUUCUUUGACUAGGGACAUAGCUAUAAGAUCUACUACUAGUGCUUUAGCCAGAGCCUUCUUCUAUGCAAGAUCUAUUGAUGUGAUAGACAGAUCAUGAGCAUAAGACUCUGAUGCUUAGUUUGUUCCAUUUCUAGCUAGAAUUAGAAUAAACGAUCUCGAGAUGUGUCGGCCGGGAUGCCGCAGGCUCGGAUGGAGGGAACGUGAGGCAGCGUGAUUGAUGGCUUUCAAAGAGGCUAUGCCGGGUCUUUUCUUUUCUAGGUUUUCCCCUCUCUACCUAGGACGCAUUUACUGGCUAAGCUCACAGGCUAGGGGCCUAUCCAAGGCAAGAUCCUGCUGUGGUGUAAUCAAUAGCUU
rnacentral:lncRNA from 1 species